rnacentral:lncRNA from 1 species
AUAUGUGUAGCAAUUGAUCUUGUGCAAAGAUACCGUAUCAUCCGAAAAUCUUUUGAUAACAUCGUCAGGAAGCGUCUUGGCAUUCCAUGAAGUUACACAGAUAGAGAUUAUAUCUUUUCAUGGGUAAUAUAUGCACUUGAUCUAUAUAUGUCUUAGCUCCGUUCAUGGUAUUUUUAAGCACUAAUUGCUCCAUGAUCUAAGCACAAGCGUUGCACUCAGAUUGGUCAUGGUGCAAAGAAUCAAAAAGGAUGGAGACAAAGCAUGCAUUUGAGUACAUAUCACACCAAGAGUUGCCUCAUUCACUGAUGAUAUCAGCUGGCCCAU